UUCACAUUCACGGUCGAAUAAGGCGCAUGAAAAUGAGUUCCAGUUACUUUUUCAAAGUCUUUCUACUUGACACUGCGGUCGCCGUUUGCCAGGCCGGAAUCGUAUCAGCAAACUCUCUGGGAAAAGUCGAAACAAAAGAUGCUUGUCCUGGAUUUCUGCAAGGCAACACUGCAGUACCUUGCUGGCCCUUGAACGGAAAGUCUUUUCAAAAACAAAGCACUCCAACUGGUUGGAUGCCGAUAAAUUCUGUAGGGUAGGCGGGAUGACUCUGUUGAGCCUAGAAAGUAAAGAAGAGGAUCAAAUGAUUAACAACUACAUCAAAUCCACAUCAGGCAUCACUGUUACCGAUUGUGAAAGAAUAUCACAGACUAGCUUCAAUGAAACAAAUUUGGAUCUAAUGGAUAUCUGAACAGAAGCAGGGAUUCUUUAGUAAGGGAAAAUUCUGUGAUUUAACAAGCAUUUUUUAGGUAAAAUAAAACUGUGCCAUUUCUCAUACCUAUUAACGGGUACACAACAUUAUGAUAAGAUUCAAUUCAAGCCAGAACUGUAAGCCAAAACGUUCUCACAGGAGAUGAGAGUUUGCCAAUCAACACACCAUCUAAUUCUAAAAUCAAAAGCAAAGCUUUUAAUAUUCCAUGCGAUGAUUGUUGGUAAAUGUAUGAUGUGCAAACUUAUUCACGAGGUUUCUAUCCAGCACUAAUCCAGCAUACCUAAAAUAUUACAGAUAAGACAUUAAAA